rnacentral:lncRNA from 1 species
GGCGGGCGCGGGGAAAAUGGCGGCGGCGGCGGCGGCGGCUGCAGCUACGAACGGGACCGGAGGAAGCAGCGGGAUGGAGUAGUCCCCAGCGUGAUGGCCUGCGGAGUGACUGGGAGUGUUUCCGUCGCUCUCCAUCCCCUUGUCAUUCUCAACAUCUCAGACCACUGGAUCCGCAUGCGCUCCCAGGAGGGGCGGCCUGUGCAGGUGAUUGGGGCUCU